AAAGGUGGGGAACCCUGCCAGCUGACCUCCCUCUCCCCCACUGUAUUGGGGAUCCCCAGGGACCUUCUGAACCAGGGCCUGGAAGACCAGCUUCUCCUGCCUGGCAGUGACCAAUUUGACAGUGUCCUCUGUGGCCUGGUCACUGAUGUGGACCUAGAUGGACAACCAGAAGUCCUGGUGGCCACCUAUGGACAGGAACUGCUCUGCUAUAAGUACCGCAGGCUUCCUGAGGCUGGCCCAGGCUUUCACCUGCUGUGGCAGCGGACCUUCUCCAGCCCCCUGCUGGCCAUGGCCCAUGUAGACCUGACUGGUGAUGGGCUGCAGGAGCUGGCCGUGGUGUCUCUAAAGGGGGUACACAUCCUCCAGCACAGCCUGAUCCAGGCCUCUGAGUUGGUCCUGACUCGGCUUCGUCGUCAAGUUGAGCAGAGGAAGCAGCAGCCACAGGAUCUUGGGGACAGGGUGGGUCCCAGGCCUGGGGAGUCCCCAGCCUCCUGAGCACCCCCUCUUCCCAGGCCCAGGAAACUCAUGGCAUUUCCCAUCACUGAUGAAAGAAGUGUGUCACAGGAGGGGUGCUCCCCUUGGGCUCCUCCAGAGGGUAACACUCAGUGUCCCUGCCCUGCCCUGAUGAUGUCACCCUUGCUGACCACUCCUGGCAGCUUUGGUGUCCCUGUUUGAAGAGGAGUGACGUCACCAAGCCCAUAUGUUCCCAUCGAAUGUUGGUCCCCUGAUGACUACUUAUACAUACAGAGCAACAGAGCUGCCCCAGCCAUCUUCAUUCUCCUGAGUGUAACUAUUGAUCAUUUCUGUGUGCCUGGUUCUGCGUUGCUGGAUUUAUCCCCCAAAGAAUCAAGGGGGCUUCAGGGAGAGAGAGUCCAAGGUUAGACCCAGAAAUAGGGCAGAGAUUAGAUCCAGAGUAGGACCCAAGGAAAGAAAGGAGGUUA
rnacentral:lncRNA from 1 species